AGCGAACGCUGGCGGCAGGCCUAACACAUGCAAGUCGAACGAACCUUUCGUGGUUAGUGGCGGACGGGUGAGUAACACGUGGGAACGUUCCUUUAGGUUCGGAAUAACUCAUUGAAACUUGUGCUAAUACCGAAUGUGCCCUUCUGGUGAAAGAUUUAUCGCCUUUAGAGCGGCCCGCGUCUGUUUAGCUAGUUGGUUGAGGUAAUGGCUCACCAAGGCGACGAUCAGUAGCUGGUCUGAGAGGAUGAUCAGACACAUUGGGACUGGGACACGGCCGAAAAUACUACGGGAGGCAGGAGUGGGGAAUCUUGCGAAAUGGGCGAAAGCAUGAAGGAGCCAUGCCGCGUGAAUGAUGAAGGUCUUAGGAUUGUAAAAUUCUUUCACCGGGGACGAUAAUGACGGUACCCGGAGAAGAAGCCCCGGCUAACUUCGUG
rnacentral:rRNA from 1 species